GCUGGCGGCAUGCCUAACACAUGCAAGUCGGACGCUUUCGGGGGUUUCGGCCUCCGAGGGAGUGGCGGACGGGUGAGUAGCGCGUGGGAACCUGCCCCUUUGUGGGGGAUAACCGAGGGAAACUUCGGCUAAUACCGCAUGCGCCCGCGGGGGAGACCUUGCGGGGAAAGAUUUAUCGCAGAGGGAGGGGCCCGCGUCGGAUUAGGUAGUUGGUGGGGUAACGGCCUACCAAGCCUGUGAUCCGUAGCUGGUCUGAGAGGAUGAUCAGCCACACUGGGACUGAGACACGGCCCAGACUCCUACGGGAGGCAGCAGUGGGGAAUAUUGGACAAUGGGCGCAAGCCUGAUCCAGCAAUGCCGCGUGAGUGAUGAAGGCCUUAGGGUUGUAAAGCUCUUUCGGCGGGGACGAUGAUGACGGUACCCGCAGAAGAAGCCCCGGCUAACUUCGUGCCAGCAGCCGCGGUAAUACGAAGGGGGCGAGCGUUGUUCGGAUUUACUGGGCGUAAAGGGCGCGUAGGCGGCGGCCCAAGUCGAGUGUGAAAGCCCCGGGCUCAACCUG
rnacentral:rRNA from 1 species